GCUCGUUAUAUCCUUCGCAUGAUUUGUCCUAUUUUGACCGAAGCGAUAUGACCGCUCCAUAUGAGAGUUAUUUCCCCUUAUGCAUCUGAUAUAAGUGAUAUGAAUUUCUAUCUUAUAAAUCAUAAGUGAUAGAGACCUAGGAUCUUUUGAUUUGAGGUCCUUGGUCCCAAAAAAUGAAAAUUAGGUCAAGGUCAAAGGUCAAGGUCAUAUUCUGAUAUUUGAAUUUGGCUUAUUUUCACUUAUAUCCAAAGACUGUAUAAGAUAUCA
rnacentral:lncRNA from 1 species